rnacentral:rRNA from 1 species
AUUGAACGCUGGCGGCAUGCCUAACACAUGCAAGUCGAGCGAGGUGUAGCAAUACACUUAGUGGCGGACGGGUGAGGAACACAUAGGAAUCUGCCUCAGAGCGGGGGAUAGCCCAGGGAAACUUGGAGUAAUACCGCAUGAUGUCGAAAGACCAAAGCAGGGGACCGUAAGGCCUUGCGCUCUGAGAGGAGCCUAUGUCUGAUUAGCUAGUUGGCGGGGUAAUGGCCCACCAAGGCGACGAUCAGUAACUGGUCUGAGAGGACGAUCAGUCACACCGGAACUGAGACACGGUCCGGACUCCUACGGGAGGCAGCAGUGGGGAAUAUUGGACAAUGGGCGAAAGCCUGAUCCAGCAAUGCCGCGUGUGUGAAGAAGGCCUCGGGUUGUAAAGCACUUUAGCCAGGAAAGAAAAAUGCUUGACCCAAUACGUCAAGCCUUGACGGUACCUGGAGAAUAAGCACCGGCUAACUCUGUGCCAGCAGCCGCGGUAAUACAGAGGGUGCAAGCGUUAAUCGGAUUUACUGGGCGUAAAGCGUGUGUAGGUGGCUGUUCAAGUCGGUUGUGAAAGCCCCAGGGCUCAACCUGGGAAUUGCUUCCGAGACUGAGCAGCUAGAGUACGGUAGAGGGCGGUGGAAUUUCCGGUGUAGCGGUGAAAUGCGUAGAUAUCGGAAGGAACACCAAUGGCGAAGGCAGCCGCCUGGGGCCUGUACUGACACCGAGACACGAAAAGCCGUGGGGGAUCAAACAGGAUUAGAUACCCUGGUAG